rnacentral:pre_miRNA from 1 species
UUUGAUGUAAAUUGAUUUAUGUUUGGAAAUAUUUACUUAAAAAUGAUUCUUAUGAGUUGAUGUGGUUUGGAUAC